CCGUGUACGAGGCCGAGGACAUCCUCGACGCCUGCCUCACCCACAAGGCCAAAUACGGCGGCUGUAUUUUCAACCUCAAGCAUCUUGACUUGGCCAAGAAGGCCAAGGAGCUCCGGCCGCAGCUCCAGUCUAUAUUUGAUCGUGCCAUUAGGCUUAGGGAGGAGUUACUGCCACCCAUCGCGGAUCCAUCUGCUGCAACCCUCGGAACCUCCGAUGACGAUAAAUUCAAAAAGGUACUAAUCAUUUCUACUUUUCAUCCAUCGUCUUUUUCUAUAUUAUUGAAUAUUCUUAGUAAUAAAGCAACUUCGUUACCGCAUUUAAACACUAUAUUGGUGUAGUUUUUACACCAUUUUUCAUUCCAAUCAUGUGUCGAAUUUUGCUCAGAAUCACCAAAUUUGGCUAUGGAGUGUGAAUAAAAUAUUUUUGAAGACUUGCAUUUAUUGAUAAUUAGCUAUGGAUAAUUAUAUUUUUUUACUCAAAAUGAAAAACGAGCCUAUUCUAGUGGGACUAGGGAUGUCAGAAAAGCCCGAAACCGACGGGUCAACCCGAAUAGACCGAUAAAAAAUGAGGGUUAGAGCUGAAAAUUUUUAGCCCGAGCCCGAUAGGGUUUUGGCCCGAAAACCGAGUGGAUUGACCCGAUUAACCGAACACUUUCUUAAUAAUUGAUUUUUAAAUUUUAAUACUUUACUUUUUAAUUCGAUAACAACAUUUUGAUGCUUGUAGAAUAUGUUUUGAUUCUUUCCAACUGUUAAUAACAAACAUCUAUGAUAUAAAAGUCAAAUAAAGAUAAUCAUGUAUAUUAAAUCUAUAUACAAUUUUAAUCGAAAACGAAGUUAAAGUUAGAUAUUAUGUAAACUUACGUUAAAAUAAAACUAUUUUUUGUAUUUAAAAUAAGGCCUAAUGUCUUGAUUAAAAAAUAUGACAUAUUUUUAUUACAAGAAUAUGAUUAUUUAUAUAAAAAAUCAUAAACUUGCGGGCCCGAACGGGCUAGGCUGAAACCAAGUGGGUUAGGGACGAAAAAUUUUAGCCCGAAAAAAAAAACCGACUAGCCCGAACCGAAAAUAACUCGAAACUGAAUGGGCUGACCCGAAAUCGAGUGGGCUGGGCUGAUUGACAUCCCUAUUUAUUACUCCCUCCGUCCACGAAAUGAGUACCCAUUUGUGGACGGCACGGGUUUUAAGAAAUGUAUGGAGUGUAGUGUAAAUANUGCCUCACCCACAAGGCCAAAUACGGCGGCUGAUUUUCAACCUCAAGCAUCUUGACUUGGCCAAGAAGGCCAAGGAGCUCCGGCCGCAGCUCCAGUCUAUAUUUGAUCGUGCCAUUAGGCUUAGGGAGGAGUUACUGCCACCCAUCGCGGAUCCAUCUGCUGCAACCCUCGG
rnacentral:lncRNA from 1 species